AAGGUUGUGGUUCAGUGGUAGAAUUUGCUUUGCAUGCAAUGGUUCGCAGGUUCAAUCCCCACCAUCUUCA
rnacentral:tRNA from 1 species